AUUAAUAAAUCAAAAAGAAAAAGCUAUCAUUUUUCUCUUCUCCUUCACCGAAAUAUGCAGCAAAGAAAUGGCUUUGAAGCUGAAAAAUUUCAGCAACAUAUUUCCCUUGCUUAUGAUGAAAAUCGAGAUUUGGACCUAGAACGGAAAGAAAUCGAUUAAGGGAUAAUUACGUCUUUUUUUUCACCUUUGUGGUAUCGAGGUAAGUUCAUGUGUAAAUAAUGUAGCAUAAUUGUUAUUUUUAAGUUAUUGAUGUUAAAUAUAUGAUAUGCUGAUUUUUAUCAUGAAA